rnacentral:rRNA from 1 species
CAAUAGCGUAUAUUAAAGUUGUUGCAGUUAAAAAGCUCGUAGUUGGAUUUCUGGUGGGAGCGAUCGGUCUGGCGCUUAGCGCGAGUACUUGCAUCGUCUCCGGCCAUCCUUGGGGAGAGUCUGUCUGGCAUUAGGUUGUCGGGCAGAGGAUCCUCAUCGUUUACUGUGAAAAAAUUAGAGUGUUCAAAGCAGGCUUAUGCCGUUGAAUAUAUUAGCAUGGAAUAAUAAGAUAGGACUUUGGUACUAUUUUGUUGUUUUGCGCACCAAAGUAAUGAUUAAUAGGGACAGUUGGGGGUAUUCGUAUUCCGUUGUCAGAGGUGAAAUUCUUGGAUUUACGGAAGACGAACUACUGCGAAAGCAUUUACCAAGGAUGUUUUCAUUAA